UUAUAUAUUAAAAUUAAAAUCAGUGAUUCUCUGAAAGAUAUAACAAUAUUUAUAGUAUCUAAAUUGAUUAACAAUAUAUUUGUGCUCUGAUCAUAAGCAAGCAAAUUUUGUACAACAAAAGAUGUUUACUAUACACUCAAGGCAUGGAAAUAGUUUAGGUGUGACAUUUCCAGCAACCAGAAUCAUAAUUCAUUAUAGCCAUUCAAGACUAUGCCAGAUAGCACUAUAUAUUACGAAAUUUUUAAAAUAAGCAUACCGAUGAUGUGUUAGAUAUUUUAAAUAACCAACUAAUUGAUAUGUAUGAUAUUCUUAAUAAAAAACUGAUUUCUAGACUAUCUGCUAAUAAAGAGUAGAAGUUGACAUUUUUUAAAGCAUAAAAAUUUAGGAAAUCGUAAAUCUAUAAUAGUCUUGUUGUUUUAAAAUAUUAACUAGGGAGUGUUACCAAAGAUUUUCUCAAAAUCAUCUGAAUAGUAGAAUUAUCUACUGAUGAACAAAUUAUUUUAUUUACCAUUAUAUUAUUUUAAUUAAAAAGAUAAUCUUUUAAAGCUUUCAACUCUAGCGACUCAAUAAUGAAGUAAUAAUCUAGAAAACAGAUAGCCAAUCUUACUACAAUAGAUCAUAGAGGUUUUUUAAAACUAAGAAAUUAAAAAAAUGAUACUCUUAUUAAAAUAGCGGACAGUUUUAAUAAAAAAAUUGCAAUAUAUCCAAAAACAAAGUUUAUAACCAGCCUAAUAAUAAGAAAAACUAGUAGUCUCAUUAAUUUAAAUAGCAGGAUUAAAUAAUAAAAACGAUACCAUCUCAAUAAAAGCUAUAAGAUAGGUCAUAAUUGUCCUAGUAAAGCAUAUUAAUUAAUGAAACUCAAAAAUCAAAAACAGCUAAUGUUUCUCAAUUAUAUACAAGAAGAGGUCAAUGGAAUAAAUCACCGAUAUUUGCCUUGCUUAAAAUAAAUUACUUGAAUGCUUUUGCUUAUAUAUUGAAGGAGUUUGUAAAUAUUACGUACCGAAUAAAGAAGAUGGAAGGAAAAUAUUGUGUGGAAUAUGACAUAAAUGAUUGAUUACUCAAGUCAUUUUCUAUGAAGAACUAAGCAAUAUCUAUAUAUUGAAGUAUGAUAGGAGCAAUAUUUGUACAAAUUAUACAAAAGAUUACUAUAAAAAAUAUUGAGCACAAAAUGUACGAUACUUGCAGAGAAAAGGGAGAUUUAAGAAUGUGUACCAUUUCAUCAAUCUUUUGUUUAGUUAAUGAAGUUUUUUAAUUAAGCAUCUUGAGGUGUUAUAUGCAGUCAAAAGGAUUAAAAGUAUAUGAACUUAAUGAUAUGGAUACAAUUACAUUUGUGACAGUCUGAAAGAUGAUAUCAAGUUCAUCAUAUUUUCAAUAUAAUACAUAAUUUAUCAUUGUAGUAAAAAAAAUUUUUCCAUAAUAAUUAUUCCAAUGAAAACACGUCAAAUAAGUAGCAACCAGCUAAUCUGUUCAAUAGAUCGUCAAUUAUCAUAAAAAUUACAUCUUCCUCGCAAAGGCUGAAAUUGUAUAUAGAAUAAUAAAUGCAAGUUUUGAAGAUGUAAUUUUCAUACCUUUGGAUACAUAUAUUUAAAGAAUGGUCUGGUGCAUUAGUUCUGCAAAUAAAUCUUCAAGGGGACCUAAAUUAAAACGUUUUAAAAAGCAACCAAUAACAAAUUAUCUCUUUUCUACAUUAUUGGCAUUUAAAUAUUUUAACAUUGUGACAAAAAUAAUUAUUCUUUAAUAUAUAACAAAUUAUUCAUGAUAAUUUUUUGUGUUUGAUAAGCAAUGUGGAAAAAUGACAAAAUUUCUUUAUUAAAAUAAUUGUGAAAUGUAAUGUAAAAUAUAUAUAAAAUAAAAUGAUUAAUAUUACACAAUUAAUCCAACUUAUCUAACUAUCAUGACUUAGCAAGAUUUUUUCAAUUCAAAAGAUUAAAAUACUUAUAUCAUAUUAU